rnacentral:rRNA from 1 species
GGUGAACGCUGGCGGUAGGCCUAACACAUGCAAGUCGAACGGCAGCACAGUAAGAGCUUGCUCUUACGGGUGGCGAGUGGCGGACGGGUGAGGAAUACAUCGGAAUCUACUUUUUCGUGGGGGAUAACGUAGGGAAACUUACGCUAAUACCGCAUACGACCUACGGGUGAAAGCAGGGGAUCUUCGGACCUUGCGCGAUUGAAUGAGCCGAUGUCGGAUUAGCUAGUUGGCGGGGUAAAGGCCCACCAAGGCGACGAUCCGUAGCUGGUCUGAGAGGAUGAUCAGCCACACUGGAACUGAGACACGGUCCAGACUCCUACGGGAGGCAGCAGUGGGGAAUAUUGGACAAUGGGCGCAAGCCUGAUCCAGCCAUACCGCGUGGGUGAAGAAGGCCUUCGGGUUGUAAAGCCCUUUUGUUGGGAAAGGAAAGCAGCAGGUUAAUACCCCGCUGUUCUGACGGUACCCAAAGAAUAAGCACCGGCUAACUUCGUG